AAAAAGAGUCUUUGUAAUUUGUUUUGCAGACGUGAUUACUGGUUGUUUAUAAGAGGUGUUGUUAUGAAAGGUGAUGUCUGCCAUGCUGACCUGAGCAAUCAAUGGAGAAAGGAGAGACCAGGAGACAGGAGAUGGAAUACGGAACGGACUCAGGGAAGUUCUACAGAAAACAUCCACGUGAGCACUAUCCUUGAUGUUGAGGGGGUUGCAACGGGCGAAAACGGAGCAGAGAAAGGAAGUCUUGAACCAAAGUGUGAGCAUCCAUGUUCAUAAAGCAUCUGGAGCAGAGGGAAGUUUGGAAUCUAUGACUUGAAUGCUUUUAGGACUGAAAACAGAGACGAGUGAUCCCCUCACUCACUCACAGCUACCACGUGAAGUAACAAGGACUUUAAGAGCUCAACAUAAACCAGUUCGGAGGUGGUAAAUGUUCCCCACCAAAGGACAAUGAAGCCAGGCGACCUUCAGUUAGACCUCUCCUUUCCCCAAACACCUGCAAGUUGAAGGCCAGUAAUUACCAUACAAAGUCUGCUGGAGUUUAUCCCCAAACACUUCCGGACUGUUCCCUUUGUCCCCCCUCCCCCCUUUUCUGAAAAGUUGCCUGUCUGUGCCAGGUGGGGAUGCUUGUUUUGGGUCAAGUUUAUAUGCUGCUUUCAAGACCAACUCUCUCCACUUUAGCCUGAGACCAUCUUCUCCCACUGGGUCCCUGGGUUAUCUAUCAUGGUCACAAAAACAUGGCGAGCAGGUGAUGCUUGUUUAGGUUCAUGGAAGCUGUUGUAUAACACGAGGUGUUCCCUGAUAUCUGCACACUUUCGGGUACGUGGGAAUGAGUGGCUUCUAUUUCUGGUACCUGUGAUGGUUCGUAUAUGCUCGGCCCAGGGAGUGACACUAUUAGAAGGUGUGGCCCUGUUGG
rnacentral:sRNA from 1 species